rnacentral:tRNA from 1 species
UCCCAUAUUGCCUAGUGGUUAGGAUACCUGACUCUCACCCAGGAGGCCCGGGUUCAAUUCCCGGUAUGGGAA